rnacentral:rRNA from 1 species
AGUGAACGCUGGCGGUAGGCCUAACACAUGCAAGUCGAACGGCAGCACAGUAAGAGCUUGCUCUUACGGGUGGCGAGUGGCGGACGGGUGAGGAAUACAUCGGAAUCUACUUUUUCGUGGGGGAUAACGUAGGGAAACUUACGCUAAUACCGCAUACGACCUACGGGUGAAAGCAGGGGAUCUUCGGACCUUGCGCGAUUGAAUGAGCCGAUGUCGGAUUAGCUAGUUGGCGGGGUAAAGGCCCACCAAGGCGACGAUCCGUAGCUGGUCUGAGAGGAUGAGCAGCCACACUGGAACUGAGAGACGGUCCAGACUCCUAAGGGAGGGAGCAGUGGGGAAUAUUGGACAAUGGGCGCAAGCCUGAUCCAGCCAAGCAGCGUGCGGGAAGAAGGCCUACGGGUUGUAAAGCCCUUUUGUUGGGAAAGAAGGGCAGCAGGUAAAGACCCCGCGGUAGUGACGGUACCCAGAGAGUAAACAACGGCUAAAUUCAUG